rnacentral:rRNA from 1 species
UAGGUAUGCUUAGGGAGGAGCUUGCGUCACAUUAGUUAGUUGGUGGGGUAAAGGCCUACCAAGACUAUGAUGUGUAGCCGGGCUGAGAGGUUGAACGGCCACAUUGGGACUGAGACACGGCCCAAACUCCUACGGGAGGCAGCAGUAGGGAAUUUUCGGCAAUGGAGGAAACUCUGACCGAGCAACGCCGCGUGAACGAUGAAGUAUUUCGGUACGUAAAGUUCUUUUAUUAGGGAAGAAUAAAUGAUGGAAAAAUCAUUCUGACGGUACCUAAUGAAUAAGCCCCGGCUAACUAUGUGCCAGCAGCCGCGGUAAUACAUAGGGGGCAAGCGUUGUCCGGAAUUAUUGGGCGUAAAGGGUGCGUAGGCGGUUAAAUAAGUUUAUGGUCUAAGUGCAAUGCUCAACAUUGUGAUGCUAUAAAAACUGUUUAGCUAGAGUAAGAUAGAGGCAAGUGGAAUUCCAUGUGUAGUGGUAAAAUGCGUAAAUAUAUGGAGGAACACCAGUAGCGAAGGCGGCUUGCUGGGUCUUUACUGACGCUGAGGCACGAAAGCGUGGGGAGCAAACAGGAUUAGAUACCCUGGUAGUCCACGCCGUAAACGAUGAGUACUAAACGUUGGGUAAAACCAGUGUUGAAGUUAACACAUUAAGUACUCCGCCUGAGUAGUACGUACGCAAGUAUGAAACUUAAAGGAAUUGACGGGACUCCGCACAAGCGGUGGAUCAUGUUGUUUAAUUCGAAGGUACCCGAAAAACCUUACCAGGUCUUGACAUGCUUCUGCAAAGCUGUAGAAACACAGUGGAGGUUAUCAGUUGCACAGGUGGUGCAUGGUUGUCGUCAGCUCGUGUCGUGAGAUGUUGGGUUAAGUCCCGCAACGAGCGCAACCCUUAUUGUUAGUUACCAGCACGUAAUGGUGGGGACUUUAGCAAGACUGCCAGUGAUAAAUUGGAGGAAGGUGGGGACGACGUCAAAUCAUCAUGCCCCUUAUGACCUGGGCUACAAACGUGAUACAAUGGCUGUUACAAAGGGUAGCUGAAGCGCAAGUUUUUGGCGAAUCUCAAAAAAACAGUCUCAGUUCGGAUUGAAGUCUGCAACUCGACUUCAUGAAGU